AUUGAACGCUGGCGGUAGGCCUUACACAUGCAAGUCGAACGGCAGCACGGUAACUGGUUGCUCUUGCGGAGGGGCGAACGGGUGAGGAAUAGAUCGGAACCGGUCUCUACUUUUGGGUGAGGCCUGCCGAAGCGGGACUAAUGCUGAUAACGAAUACGGGCUGAAAGUGAGGGCCGGGGGUCUUCCGCCCUUGCGGGUUGGCAUGAGCCGAUGUCGGAUUAGCUAGUUGGUGGGGUAAAGGCCUACCAAGGCGACGAUCCGUAGCUGGUCUGAGAGGACGACCAGCCACACUGGAACUGAGACACGGCCCAGACUCCUACGGGAGGCAGCAGUGGGGAAUAUUGGACAAUGGGCGAAAGCCUGAUCCAGCAAUGCCGCGUGUGUGAAGAAGGCCUUCGGGUUGUAAAGCCCUUUUGUCCGGAAAGAAAAGCUUGACGCUAAUACCGUGCGGGGAUGACGGUACCCGAAGAAUAAGCACCGGCUAACUACGUG
rnacentral:rRNA from 1 species